rnacentral:rRNA from 1 species
UACGGAGGGUGCGAGCGUUGUCCGGAAUCACUGGGCGUAAAGGGCGCGUAGGCGGCGUGGUAAGUCACUUGUGAAAUCUCUGAGCUUAACUCAGAACGGCCAAGUGAUACUGCUGUGCUAGAGUGCAGAAGGGGCAAUCGGAAUUCUUGGUGUAGCGGUGAAAUGCGUAGAUAUCAAGAGGAACACCUGCGGCGAAGGCGGGUUGCUGGGCCGACACUGACGCUGAGGCGCGAAAGCCAGGGGAGCGAACGGG